UACGUAGGGUGCAAGCGUUAAUCAGAAUUACUGGGCGUAAAGCGUGCGCAGGCGGUCGUGCAAGACAGGUGUGAAAUCCCCGGGCUUAACCUGGGAACUGCACUUGUGACUGCACGGCUGGAGUACGGCAGAGGGGGAUGGAAUUCCGCGUGUAGCAGUGAAAUGCGUAGAUAUGCGGAGGAACACCGAUGGCGAAGGCAGUCCCCUGGGCCUGUACUGACGCUCAUGCACGAAAGCGUGGGGAGCAAACAGG
rnacentral:rRNA from 1 species